ACUAUUUUGGCAGAGAAAAUGUAAUGAUUUUAGAAAUCAUAAAUAUAUAUGGUUAUAAUAUAUAUAUAGUA
rnacentral:tRNA from 1 species